rnacentral:tRNA from 1 species
UGGGGCUGUAGUUCAGUGGGAGAAUAUUUGUCUGGCAGACAAAGGGUCACGGGUUCGAAUCCCGUCAGCUCCAU